AUGAGCUAGGGGAUCAGGCACAUCACUUGACUCCUGAAGGUCAUCUGUGAAAUGAGGGAAUCGGAGAAGAUGAACUCAUAAGCCCUACAGCUUCAACUUUCUACUGAGUAUAGGAUGGUUGUUGCACUUGGGGGAGAUAAAAUGUCCAACCCAAACAACAACAAGGUAUAAAUAACCCUUUGAAUCUUGACCGGCUGCGGCUAAGCUGACCUCAAGAGAGACUCGGAGCUGACUGGAAAUGAAUAGAACAGCAGCUGUAUAGUACAAAAUCUCUCCAGUUUUUCACAGAGAUUGUAUGCGAUACUUGGACACAGACACACAUGAAGGGAAGAUAAGGUACAGAGUCACGGGGAAUACAUGGCCAUCUACAAACCAGAGAGAAAGAAGCAUGAGACAGAUCCUUCCCUCACAGCCCUGAGAAGGUACCAACGCUGCCAACACCUUGAUCAUGGACUUCCAGCCUCCCGAACUGUGAGACAACAGAUUUCUGUGAUUUGUGCCACCCAAUCUAGGCGCUUUGUUACGCGGGCUUAGCAAACCAAUAUAGGAUACGUUGCUACACCGGGCUCUGGAUUUACUGAUUAAGUAUAAUGAAACCAGGCUCUUCCUGGUGAUAUUGUCUUUUUUUUUUAAACCAUGAGCUCUAAAAGAAACGUUGUUUUGCUCAAUAUAUUGUUUAAGAAACGGU